rnacentral:rRNA from 1 species
GUGGGGAAUCUUAGACAAUGGGGGAAACCCUGAUCUAGCCAUGCCGCGUGAUCGAUGAAGGCCUUAGGGUUGUAAAGAUCUUUCAGGUGGGAAGAUAAUGACUGUACCACCAGAAGAAGCCCCGGCUAACUCCGUGCCAGCAGCCGCGGUAAUACGGAGGGGGCUAGCGUUGUUCGGAAUUACUGGGCGUAAAGCGCACGUAGGCGGAUUGGAAAGUUGGGGGUGAAAUCCCGGGGCUCAACCCCGGAACUGCCUGUGAAACUCCCAGUCUUGAGUUCGAGAGAGGUGAGUGGAAUACGCAGUGUAGAGGUGAAAUUCGUAGAUAUUCGGAGGAAUACCAGUGGCGAAGGCGGCUCACUGGCUCGAUACUGACGCUGAGGUGCGAAAGCGUGGGGAGCAAACAGGAUUAGAAACCCUGGUAGUCC